GUGAGCUGGCGGGCGGCUCUCGGGCCCAUUAGGCCUGAGGAAACUCCGCCCACCAUACAGGGCCGCGGCGCCGCAAGGCGCGGGGCGAGAGCCCCGGCUCCGGAACAGAAACGGAACGUCCACCAAGCCUGUGACGAUGCGGCGUGCUAAGUCGCUGAGUAGGUUUGGUGGAGACGGUGAAACGGCCGUCCCGCGGGGUGAAAGGGCAAGUAGGCGCCUAUGAGUGCUGUGUGAGGCGCGGGUAGCCCGUUUAGCUGAAUGCCGCCUAAAACAGAAGGCGGGUUACGGCCAGCACAC
rnacentral:RNase_P_RNA from 1 species